rnacentral:rRNA from 1 species
AUUGAACGCUGGCGGCAGGCUUAACACAUGCAAGUCGAACGAUGAUUUCCCAGCUUGCUGGGAAUGAUUAGUGGCGGACGGGUGAGUAACAUUUAGGAAUCUGCCUAGUAGUGGGGGAUAGCUCGGGGAAACUCGAAUUAAUACCGCAUACGACCUACGGGUGAAAGGGGGCGCAAGCUCUUGCUAUUAGAUGAGCCUAAAUCAGAUUAGCUAGUUGGUGGGGUAAAGGCCCACCAAGGCGACGAUCUGUAACUGGUCUGAGAGGAUGAUCAGUCACACCGGAACUGAGACACGGUCCGGACUCCUACGGGAGGCAGCAGUGGGGAAUAUUGGACAAUGGGGGCAACCCUGAUCCAGCCAUGCCGCGUGUGUGAAGAAGGCCUUUUGGUUGUAAAGCACUUUAAGCAGGGAGGAGAGGCUAAUGGUUAAUACCCAUUAGAUUAGACGUUACCUGCAGAAUAAGCACCGGCUAACUCUGUGCCAGCAGCCGCGGUAAUACAGAGGGUGCGAGCGUUAAUCGGAAUUACUGGGCGUAAAGCGAGUGUAGGUGGCUCAUUAAGUCACAUGUGAAAUCCCCGGGCUUAACCUGGGAACUGCAUGUGAUACUGGUGGUGCUAGAAUAUGUGAGAGGGAAGUAGAGUUCCAGGUGUAGCGGUGAAAUGCGUAGAGAUCUGGAGGAAUACCGAUGGCGAAGGCAGCUUCCUGGCAUAAUAUUGACACUGAGAUUCGAAAGCGUGGGUAGCAAACAGGAUUAGAUACCCUGGUAGUCCACGCCGUAAACGAUGUCUACUAGCCGUUGGGGUCCUUGAGACUUUAGUGGCGCAGUUAACGCGAUAAGUAGACCGCCUGGGGAGUACGGCCGCAAGGUUAAAACUCAAAUGAAUUGACGGGGGCCCGCACAAGCGGUGGAGCAUGUGGUUUAAUUCGAUGCAACGCGAAGAACCUUACCUGGUCUUGACAUAGUGAGAAUCUCUCAGAGAUGAGAGAGUGCCUUCGGGAAUCCACAUACAGGUGCUGCAUGGCUGUCGUCAGCUCGUGUCGUGAGAUGUUGGGUUAAGUCCCGCAACGAGCGCAACCCUUUUCCUUAUUUGCCAGCGGGUUAAGCCGGGAACUUUAAGGAUACUGCCAGUGACAAACUGGAGGAAGGCGGGGACGACGUCAAGUCAUCAUGGCCCUUACGACCAGGGCUACACACGUGCUACAAUGGUAGGUACAGAGGGUUGCUACACAGCGAUGUGAUGCUAAUCUCAAAAAGCCUAUCGUAGUCCGGAUUGGAGUCUGCAACUCGACUCCAUGAAGUCGGAAUCGCUAGUAAUCGCAGAUCAGAAUGCUGCGGUGAAUACGUUCCCGGGCCU